UAAAUGUGAUGGCAAAAACUAAUUUCGUGUCCAUUGAAUACACAGACAUCCUUGGUUAAAAAAGUUUAGUUAUAUGGAGAAAAAACAAAACCACAUUUCGAAGUUUGUGAGAAAAAAUCAAAAUCCGAGAGUGUUUAUUGGUAACUCUACGCAAAACAAUGUGACAGAUGGGGAUUUUCAGAGCUGUGGAUUGUAACCAAUCAUCUUAAUCUCAAAACAAUUCAUUUAAAAUAUAUAUAAAAGUAUGUUGGUAAGUA